AAGCCAAUUGCUGGGCCGUGUGCCUGUGCCUGGAUCUGGCUCAGGCUCUAGCUGGGAAUCUGUCCGUGAAUAAGGCUCGUUGAGCAGGGAAGCGAAGCGAUCCGAGCUGAGGCAAUGGGAAUGCUAACAUAACUGAAGCUUACCCAAAGAGGGAGAGGCGAGCUGCACAGUAGCGCCCGCGGACGAAUAAGUGUGUGAAAUAAACAAUGUGCACACGAUGCUCUUCUAAGUCCCCCAGACCCAAGCACCUAACUUUGGGUUGGCUUGUCUGUAUAUUUUUAUACAACAACAAAAAGGAAU
rnacentral:lncRNA from 1 species